GGUGGAGGACAGCCGUGCAGCCGGAGUUACAGAAGAGGAGGGGAGUAGGAGAGGAGCAGAAAGAAGCGUCUGAACUGGCAAAUUCUCCUGGCAGCACCAAGAACGAGAGCUGUGAUGUGUUGUCGUAAGGGUGUGGUGAUGCUCAGCAGAUGCCCCAUCCUGUGGGAAGCACCCCCUCCAUGGGGCAGGCAGUGUGGGUUAUCUGGUGUUGGGUCAAGAACCCAGAGUGGAAUUGCUGUUGCAGAUUAUCCCAGACGAGUUUACCUACUGUGGAUUACCUGGGUGGAGCCCCUGGUGAAGAUGCGGAGGGACAAGAUGUGUGCCACAGAGCGACGGGGGAAGGCAGCGGAGCGCUGUAAGGAGGUG